CUCCACCAAAAACUCAAACACCGUCAUCAACUUUCAUAUUUCUUUUCUUAAAUCUCCUUCCCUUUUGUACAUACAAAAUCAAUUCAAUUGUUCAUCAUAAAACCGUCAUUUCUCUCUAUCUUCUAGUAAUUAAUAGCAAUACUAACAUUUUUCUCCAAUCCAAUUGAUUAUUCUUUUUUUCUUUUGCAUUAUUUGUACAUCUUGUAUAAUAAUUCAAAGGCAUAUUGGUCGAAUUUUAGAUGUUUCAAUGACGAGUGCCAUCGGAAAUGGUUCGUUGUUUUAUCGUACUCCGUCAAAAUUUGAUGGUGCUGACACCUCGUCGGAAAAGUUAGGAGUUCUAAACCUACGGGCAUGUAAUUUUUGCAAAGCUAAGUUAUUGGGCUUACGUCAAAAUUUGAUGGCGCUGACACCUCGUCGGAAAAGUUAGGAGUUCUAAACCUACGGGCAUGUAAUUUUUGCAAAGCUAAGUUAUUGGGCUUACCGCCCUUAAGGGCAAUGGAGGCUUCUAGAACGUCUCAUAUCAAUGGAAAAGCCGAAAAUGUUCAUCAGCCGGGAUACAAUUCAAACGAUC
rnacentral:lncRNA from 1 species